CCUACGGGGUGCAGCAGUGGGGAAUAUUGGACAAUGGGCGAAAGCCUGAUCCAGCCAUGCCGCGUGUGUGAAGAAGGCCUUCGGGUUGUAAAGCACUUUCAGUGGGGAAGAAAGCCUUGGGGCUAAUACCCUCGAGGAAGGACAUCACCCACAGAAGAAGCACCGGCUAACUCCGUGCCAGCAGCCGCGGUAAUACGGAGGGUGCGAGCGUUAAUCGGAAUUACUGGGCGUAAAGCGCGCGUAGGCGGUCUGAUCAGCCGGUUGUGAAAGCCCCGGGCUCAACCUGGGAACGGCAUCCGGAACUGUCAGGCUAGAGUGCAGGAGAGGAAGGUAGAAUUCCCGGUGUAGCGGUGAAAUGCGUAGAGAUCGGGAGGAAUACCAGUGGCGAAGGCGGCCUUCUGGACUGACACUGACGCUGAGGUGCGAAAGCGUGGGUAGCAAACAGGAUUAGAUACCCGGGUAGUC
rnacentral:rRNA from 1 species